GACUGUCACACUAUUGAAGUGAUGCCUCCCGUUGAGCAGUCGCGGAAGGUCCCGGUGCUGCUAUACUGUAAUGUAUGGUAAGAGGCUGCUCCUGUUGAGGAGUCGCAGAAGGUCCUGGUGCUACACUGUAAUGUAUGGCCUGAGGUUGCUCCUGUUGAGGAGUAGCCAAAGGUGCUGGUGCUGGUGCUGCUAUACUGUAUGUAUGGUAAGAGGUUGCUCUGGUUGAGUCAUGGAAAGUCCCGAUGCUACACUGUAAUGUAUGGCCUGAGGUUGCUCCUGUUGAGGAGUAGCCAAAGGUGCUGGUGCUGCUAUACUGUAAUGUACAGCCCGAGGUCGUGUUCCCUCUAUCAUCACUGCAACAUCAGCCGCUGCGAUAGCUGCAGCUUCC
rnacentral:lncRNA from 1 species